CGGGGCGUGGCUCAGCUUGGUAGAGCGCUACCUUGGGGUGGUAGAGGCCGUGAGUUCGAAUCUCGCCGCUCCGACCA
rnacentral:tRNA from 1 species